GACGAACGCUGGCGGCGUGCUUAACACAUGCAAGUCGGACGGAAAGGCCCUGCUUUUGUGGGGUGCUCGAGUGGCGAACGGGUGAGUAACACGUGAGUAACCUGCCCUUGACUUUGGGAUAACUUCAGGAAACUGGGGCUAAUACCGGAUAGGAGCUCCUGCUGCAUGGUGGGGGUUGGAAAGUUUCGGCGGUUGGGGAUGGACUCGCGGCUGAUCAGCUUGUUGGUGGGGUAGUGGCUUACCAAGGCUUUGACGGGUAGCCUGCCUGAGAGGGUGACCGGCCACCUUGGGAAUGAGAUACGGCCCAGAGUAGUACGGGAGGCAGCAGUGGGGAAUAUUGCACAAUGGGCGGAAGCCUGAUGCAGCAACGCCGCGUGAGGGAUGACGGCCUUCGGGUUGUAAACCGCUUUCGCCUGUGACGAAGCGUGAGUGACGGUAAUGGGUAAAGAAGCACCGGCUAACUACGUG
rnacentral:rRNA from 1 species